rnacentral:rRNA from 1 species
AGCGUACACGGUGGAUGCCCUGGCAGUCAGAGGCGAUGAAGGACGUGCUAAUCUGCGAUAAGCGCCGGUAAGGUGAUAUGAACCGUUAUAACCGGCGAUUUCCGAAUGGGGAAACCCAGUGUGACUCGUCACACUAUCAUUAACUGAAUCCAUAGGUUAAUGAGGCGAACCGGGGGAACUGAAACAUCUAAGUACCCCGAGGAAAAGAAAUCAACCGAGAUUCCCCCAGUAGCGGCGAGCGAACGGGGAGGAGCCCAGAGCCUGAAUCAGCAUGUGUGUUAGUGGAAGCGUCUGGAAAGGCGCGCGAUACAGGGUGACAGCCCCGUACACAAAAGCGCAUGUGCUGUGAGCUCGAUGAGUAGGGCGGGACACGUGGUAUCCUGUCUGAAUAUGGGGGGACCAUCCUCCAAGGCUAAAUACUCCUGACUGACCGAUAGUGAACCAGUACCGUGAGGGAAAGGCGAAAAGAACCCCGGCGAGGGGAGUGAAAAAGAACCUGAAACCGUGUACGUACAAGCAGUGGGAGCACAGGUUUACCUGUGUGACUGCGUACCUUUUGUAUAAUGGGUCAGCGACUUAUAUUCUGUAGCAAGGUUAACCGUAUAGGGGAGCCGGAGGGAAACCGAGUCUUAAUUGGGCGUUAAGUUGCAGGGUAUAGACCCGAAACCCGGUGAUCUAGCCAUGGGCAGGUUGAAGGUUGGGUAACACUAACUGGAGGACCGAACCGACUAAUGUUGAAAAAUUAGCGGAUGACCUGUGGCUGGGGGUGAAAGGCCAAUCAAACCGGGAGAUAGCUGGUUCUCCCCGAAAGCUAUUUAGGUAGCGCCUCGUGAAUUCAUCUCCGGGGGUAGAGCACUGUUUCGGCUAGGGGGCCAUCCCGGCUUACCAACCCGAUGCAAACUGCGAAUACCGGAGAAUGUUAUCACGGGAGACACACGGCGGGUGCUAACGUCCGUCGUGAAGAGGGAAACAACCCAGACCGCCAGCUAAGGUCCCAAAGUCAUGGUUAAGUGGGAAACGAUGUGGGAAGGCCCAGACAGCCAGGAUGUUGGCUUAGAAGCAGCCAUCAUUUAAAGAAAGCGUAAUAGCUCACUGGUCGAGUCGGCCUGCGCGGAAGAUGUAACGGGGCUAAACCAUGCACCGAAGCUGCGGCAGCGAACGUAUCACCCAAGACAACUUUACGGAGUUGACGAUUGACGGAGCGAAGCGACGUCAAAGCGUUCAUUAAAGUCGAGUUGGCUUAGGGAUACGUUCGUUGGGUAGGGGAGCGUUCUGUAAGCCUGUGAAGGUGUGUCGUGAGGCAUGCUGGAGGUAUCAGAAGUGCGAAUGCUGACAUAAGUAACGAUAAAGCGGGUGAAAAGCCCGCUCGCCGGAAGACCAAGGGUUCCUGUCCAACGUUAAUCGGGGCAGGGUGAGUCGACCCCUAAGGCGAGGCCGAAAGGCGUAGUCGAUGGGAAACGGGUUAAUAUUCCCGUACUUGGUGUUACUGCGAAGGGGGGACGGAGAAGGCUAUGUUGGCCGGGCGACGGUUGUCCCGGUUUAAGCGUGUAGGUGUGUGUUCCAGGUAAAUCCGGUUCACUUUAACACUGAGGCGUGACGACGAGGCACUACGGUGCUGAAGCAACAAAUGCCCUGCUUCCAGGAAAAGCCUCUAAGCAUCAGGUAACAUCAAAUCGUACCCCAAACCGACACAGGUGGUCAGGUAGAGAAUACCAAGGCGCUUGAGAGAACUCGGGUGAAGGAACUAGGCAAAAUGGUGCCGUAACUUCGGGAGAAGGCACGCUGAUAUGUAGGUGAAGUGAUUUACUCAUGGAGCUGAAAUCAGUCGAAGAUACCAGCUGGCUGCAACUGUUUAUUAAAAACACAGCACUGUGCAAACACGAAAGUGGACGUAUACGGUGUGACGCCUGCCCGGUGCCGGAAGGUUAAUUGAUGGGGUCAGCGCAAGCGAAGCUCCUGAUCGAAGCCCCGGUAAACGGCGGCCGUAACUAUAACGGUCCUAAGGUAGCGAAAUUCCUUGUCGGGUAAGUUCCGACCUGCACGAAUGGCGUAAUGAUGGCCAGGCUGUCUCCACCCGAGACUCAGUGAAAUUGAACUCGCUGUGAAGAUGCAGUGUACCCGCGGCAAGACGGAAAGACCCCGUGAACCUUUACUAUAGCUUGACACUGAACAUUGAGCCUUGAUGUGUAGGAUAGGUGGGAGGCUUUGAAGCGUGGACGCCAGUCUGCGUGGAGCCGACCUUGAAAUACCACCCUUUAAUGUUUGAUGUUCUAACGUGGACCCGUAAUCCGGGUUGCGGACAGUGUCUGGUGGGUAGUUUGACUGGGGCGGUCUCCUCCUAAAGAGUAACGGAGGAGCACGAAGGUUGGCUAAUCCUGGUCGGACAUCAGGAGGUUAGUGCAAUGGCAUAAGCCAGCUUGACUGCGAGCGUGACGGCGCGAGCAGGUGCGAAAGCAGGUCAUAGUGAUCCGGUGGUUCUGAAUGGAAGGGCCAUCGCUCAACGGAUAAAAGGUACUCCGGGGAUAACAGGCUGAUACCGCCCAAGAGUUCAUAUCGACGGCGGUGUUUGGCACCUCGAUGUCGGCUCAUCACAUCCUGGGGCUGAAGUAGGUCCCAAGGGUAUGGCUGUUCGCCAUUUAAAGUGGUACGCGAGCUGGGUUUAGAACGUCGUGAGACAGUUCGGUCCCUAUCUGCCGUGGGCGCUGGAGAACUGAGGGGGGCUGCUCCUAGUACGAGAGGACCGGAGUGGACGCAUCACUGGUGUUCGGGUUGUCAUGCCAAUGGCACUGCCCGGUAGCUAAAUGCGGAAGAGAUAAGUGCUGAAAGCAUCUAAGCACGAAACUUGCCCCGAGAUGAGUUCU